CCCUGGAGAGCGCCUCCACCUCCACCCAGGCCCACGCGCUCCCAGGAAAAUCCCCCCAGCUGUAAUCUGGUCGGCGGCGCCGGAGUGAUGUCAUUGUUUGUGGAAUCUGCAGGGCUCUGGAAAGGGAAUUACGGCUCCAGGCGAGUCUGGAACUAAACAACUGGGAAGCCUGGUAGGAGAUCAGGCUCGCCCCCAUCAGUAAGUGUGAAGAGAUGAGACCCCUCCAGAAGUCUGGGUUGCUCCGCUGAGACUGCCUUCAAGAAAGCCGCGGCCGGGAUCGCCAUGCCUCGAGGUGCACUCCCAGACUUGAGGACGCUGCGCAAGGACAGCCAGGCUGCGCUUUGGGAAAGGCGCAGCCACAGAUCCCAGGCACUGGGCCGAGGCUGGUUGAGCGUCCUCGACCGGGGCGAAUUCAGGCCAAGUGGCAAAGGGUCAACUAAGUUAUCCAGUUAAGAAACGUGCACUCACAGUCUAGGAACUGCUUACUACUGACUUCUUCUUGCCCUAGUGAGAGGAAGCAGGGAGGCGAUGUCUGCAACAAAAUGAGAGCGACUGUCUUAAAGCAACUCAAACAGUGUUGAGUUACAGAGUAUGUACACUGAUCUUGACUUUGUAGGCUCGAUCUUGACUGUGUAGCUCCAAAGUCCAAAAUCCUGCCUCACUUGGAUAAGAGGCCUCUCACUGCUGUGGCCUCUCCCGUUGUGGAGCACAGGCUCCGGACACACAGACUCAGCGGCCAUGGCUCACGGGCCCAGCUGUUCUGCGGCAUGUGGGAUCUUUCCAGACCAGGACACGAACCCGUGUCCCCUGCAUCAGCAAGCAGACUCUCAACCACUGUGCCACCAGGGAAGCCCUUCCUUUUUUAAAAAUUUAUUUAUUUUAUUUAUUUUUGGCUACAUUGGGUCUUCAUUGCUGUGUGCAGGCUUUCUCUAGUUGUAGCGAGCUGGGACUACUCUUCAUUGCAGUGCGUGGGCUUCUCAUUGCGAUAGCUUCUCUUGUUGUGGAGCACAGGCUCUAGGCACGUGGGCUUCAGUAGUUGCAGCACACAGGCUCAGUAGUUGUGGCACAUGGGCUUAGUUGCUCUGUGGCAUGUGGGAUCUUCCAAGACCGGGGCUUGAACCCGUGUCCCCUGCAUUGGCAGGAAGAUUCUUAUCCACUGUGCCACCCCUUCUUAUUCUUCUUAUUCUCCUUCCCCUUCCCCUUCCC